rnacentral:rRNA from 2 species
CAUGUCUAAGUUCAAAUGACCUAUAAAGGUGAAACCGCGAACGGCUCAUUACAACAGCUAUUAUAUACUUGAUCUUGAUAUCCUACGUGGAUAACUGUGGUAAUUCUAGAGCUAAUACAUGCACCAAAGCUCCGACUUUUUGACGAGCGCAUCUAUUAGAUUAAAACCAAUCGAGCUUCGGCUCGCCAAUUGGUGACUCUGAAUAGCUAUAGCUGAUCGCAUGGUCUUGCACCGGCGACGUGUCUAUCAAGUGUCUGCCUUAUCAACUGUCGAUGGUAGUUUAUGUGCCUACCAUGGUUGUAACGGGUAACGGAGAAUAAGGGUUCGACUCCGGAGAGGGAGCCUGAGAAACGGCUACCACAUCCAAGGAAGGCAGCAGGCGCGCAAAUUACCCACUCUCGGCAUGAGGAGGUAGUGACGAAAAAUAACGAGACCGUUCUCUAUGAGGCCGGUUAUCGGAAUGGGUACAAUUCAAACCCGUUAACGAGGAUCUAUGAGAGGGCAAGUCUGGUGCCAGCAGCCGCGGUAAUUCCAGCUCUCAAAGUGUAUAUCGUCAUUGCUGCGGUUAAAAAGCUCGUAGUUGGAUCUGCGCUUCAGGACUUGGUCCGCCCACUGGGCGAGAACUGGGCUCCUGGGCUACUACUGCUGGUUUUCUCUACGUUGCCUUCAUCGGUCGCGUAGGGUGGCUAGCGAGUUUACUUUGAAAAAAUUAGAGUGCUUCACGCGGGCUAAUGUCUGAAUACUCGUGCAUGGAAUAAUAGAAUAGGAUCUCGGUUCUAUUUUGUUGGUUUUCUGAUCUGAGAUAAUGGUUAAGAGGGACGGACGGGGGCAUUCGUAUCGCUGCGUGAGAGGUGAAAUUCUUGGACCGUAGCGGGACGACCGACUG